UACCUAACGAAGAUUUGACUACGGUUCUAGACGCCUAAGGUAGAUGCUACGGAUUGAAGAGCACUGAAGCCUGUGUUAACUCACAACUCCGAUGACCUAAUAACGGCUCACCCUCAACCCGAAGGCUUAUGAAAAAGCACCGAAACUAGAUUCGAAAAAGGUGGCGUGCGAGACCCUACCCAAAGAGGUCCAAACCGAGCAGUCAAAAAUGAGAGUCCAU
rnacentral:lncRNA from 1 species